rnacentral:lncRNA from 1 species
AUGGAGGAGGCUGGGGCGGGGGCUGAGGUGGAGGGGAGCCUGAAGAGGAGAGGGAGAGGGAGAGGGAGAGGGAAAGGUCCUGAGAACUUCCCUUCCCUGAACUGUAUCCAACGAGGUGUGACUCCAGCCUCCUGGGAGAGGAAUGUAGUGGCUGCCAGAGAACAGUCACCGGAGCUGUGGAACAGCACCCCCGGGGCGGGUUCGCAAAGCAGGCUGAGACCGGGGCUCAAGGUACUUCCCUUGAAGUGACCAAUAACCCAACAGCAGAUGCAGAAGAACCUCGUCCGGACUUCCCUUAUGUGACUAGCACAGAGCUUUGGGAGAAUGAGCCACCACACCCGACCCCCACCCCUCCAGGGAGGCUUCAGUCGGGGAGGCACUGACUGGCACAGGGACAUUCCCGAAGAAAUGGUGUAAACACACCUCAUCAGAACCUGCCAUCCUUUGAAGCACUAGCCCCUUACCCCUUUUAUUAAAUUGGGAUAUAUAUCUUUACCUCUGGUUUUCCAGUGACUUACCCAUUACUCAGUGCUCUGGAACUCGGUGUGUGCACACACUUUUUCUUUUCUCCUGUGAAUCUGGCCACUACCCCCACCCUCAAACCUGAGUUAGUAGAGGAAAAAGUUGUCCUUCCAACAAUUUCAAAUCAAAGAAAUCCCCAGGGGCCGUCCAAUGGGAAGUUCUGAGGCCCUCUGCACUGAGUUUUGUCUGGUCAAAGGAACUGAGUUUAAGAGCAACCACCUCUGCAGGGGAGAUGCCCCAGGGAUUCACAGCCCUUUCAACCCUGGUGCAGAUGGCCAGGGCCCAGAGACACACAGCUUCUGGGCCUGAGGUCACAGCAGAGGCAACUUCUGACUUAUAAAAGAUUGUGUCUCCUGGUCUGUGGCGGCUUCCUUUUGGUUUUUUGCUUACUUAACCAACCCUUAGUACUUGCUAUGUGCCAGACUCUGUUCCAAAUACUUUACAAAUAGUAAGCCAUUUAGUCCUCAGAAUGACCCUAUGAGGUAAAUGUUCUUGUUGUCUUCAUUUUACAAAUAAGGAUCAGAGAGCACAGAGAUGUUAAGCAAUUUGCCCAAGGUCACACAGUGAGUGGGUAGCAGAGUAAGGAUUCACACCCUGGUGGUGCUUAGCUCUAAGAUGAGAAUUGACCCAAUGUCUAUUCAGUGAGCAUUCUGUGCCUCUGGGCACUGUUCUGGCCAGGGCUCCUGGGGCUGGACAAGGUUAUGUAUUUGAGUCCUGGCUAUGGGCA